GUUGGCUCUUCCCAAUCAACGGCUGAUGUAUAUCGUCGCCUCCCUCGUCUUUCGCUUUCCCCGGUUUCACUUUCCCUUCCAUUGCUAUGGACACGGCACCCGCUACUUUUUGGCGAACCCCGCGUCACCCGGCCGGUGACCACACCGGCACACCGUAGUCAUCCUCCGCUUGACGCGGACACCGGAGAACCAUCGAUCCAAUCUCUCCCGUCCAUCGCGAUCCGGUCGAGAGUUCGGUCACCCCACGCCACACGUGAUCUCCAACGUCUCCUUCUAAUCAUACGUAACUGACAGAGAGGCGGCCAACCGACGGACAACUGCGCCGCCCCCCCCGACAUGGAGACGAAGUCACCCCCACCGCCGUCGCAGCAGCAGCGGCGACGGAAGUGGGUGGUGCCGCUUCUCGCCUCUUUCUUCUUGUCGUCCCUCGUCAUCUCCGCUUUUGUCUUCUCCUCCUCGUCCUCUUCGUCCGCCUUCGCUUCCGCGUCCUUGUCCCGCCAGGCCCUCCUCCUCCUCUCCUUCUCCCAGAUCUCCCCCGCCAGCGGCGAGCCCCUGUUCGUGGAGUCGAAGCUCCACCACCCUCCGCCGACGCCCGCUGCCGCCUCGGAUCGGCCGGUACGCGGCCUCGCCUAUCUCAUCUCCGGCUCCGCUGGCGAUGGCGGCAGCCUGCGGCGGACCCUCCGCGCGCUCUACCACCCGGCCAACCAGUACGUUCUCCACCUCGAUCUGGAGGCCCCCGCGGCGGAACGCCUCGAGCUCGCCACCGCCGUCCGGGACGAUCCCGUCUAUGCUCGUUUCGGCAACGUGAGGGUCGUCGCCCGAGCUAACCUGGUCACCUACCGCGGCCCUACCAUGGUCGCCAACACACUCCACGCCGCCUCCAUCCUCCUUAAGGAGGGCGGCGAUUGGGACUGGUUCAUCAACCUCAGCGCCUCCGAUUACCCUCUCGUGACCCAGGAUGAUCUACUUUACACACUGUCAAGUUUGCCUAGACAGCUGAACUUUAUUGAACAUACCAGUGACAUCGGAUGGAAGGAGUAUCACAGGGCUAAGCCUUUAAUUAUAGACCCUGGACUUUAUAGCUUGCAGAAGACGGAUGUUUUUUGGGUUACUGAGAAAAGGAGUCUUCCCACUGCAUUCAAGCUCUUUACAGGAUCUGCUUGGAUGAUGCUCUCUCACCAGUUCAUGGAAUUCUGUUUAUGGGGGUGGGACAACCUUCCAAGGACAGUUCUAAUGUAUUACGCAAACUUUCUGUCAUCCCCCGAGGGGUACUUCCACACAGUUAUCUGCAAUGCCCCUGAGUUCCGCAACACCACUGUCAACCAUGACCUUCAUUUUAUAUCCUGGGACAACCCUCCAAAGCAGCAUCCUCACUUUCUCACCCUAAGUGAUUUCCCGAGGCUAGUCAGCAGCAACACCCCAUUUGCACGGAAGUUUGGCAGAGAUGACCCAGUGCUUGACAAGAUUGACAAGGAGCUCUUGGGCCGUCAUCCCGAUGGCUUUGUGCCUAGUGCGUGGUUUGAUGCACUGAAGUCGAAUACUACUAUCAAUGAUCUACAGUAUACAGUGAGGAGUGUCUCUGACCUCAGGCCUGGGCCAGGUGCUGAGAGGCUUAAAACCCUAAUUACAGGGCUGCUUUCGGCAGAUGGUUUUGACGAGAAACACUGCAUUUGAUAUGGACUGUUUGUCAGCCGAUUCAGAUUCCUUUUCCCCAAAACAUUCUGUGUCGAGCUGUGGUUCCCUGUCCUCGACUCAAAGCAGUGAAAAGGUGCAAGAGACAGAUCGGGCUUCCUAUAUGGUCAUAAUCUGGGAAGUAAUAAGGGCCUGUGGAAGAGGUUUUGACCUAAAGAACCUGAGUAGCAAUGUGGAAGAAAGCAAGAAGCACUAAUCAAUGACCUUCUGAUGUGAAAGACUUCUCCUACAACGCAACAUUUCAUAAGAUCUCUGUUGUUUGAGGUUGGCUACACAAAUCAAAAGUGAAUUCUUGGCUGCACUUGCCAUCUCCAACCCAUCUCCAGCGUUCUCUGGUUUGAUCCAUGUCGCGCAGUAAAGAAAAGCUGCCAAGUUUAGAGCGCUUAGUGCGGCCAGAAGGCCAUAGAAGUAAUCCAGCCUCCCAUGGUUGAUGUUGUCAGCCAGCCAUCCCUGCCCGCUCUCGCCGCCCGUCACACUCUUCACGAUGGAGACGAUGAAGCUGCUAAGGAAGAAGCCGAGUGACAGCGUGGUCAGGAAGAGGCCGGUGCUCAUCGUCUUCAUCCCCUUCGGUGACCGUGUGAUGAAGAAAUCGAGCUGCCCGGUGUAUAUCAACGCCUCCCCCGAGCCCACGAGAAAGAACUGCGGUACCAACGUGAAGACGCUGAUGGGCAGCGCCGCGCCUCUGGGAGCAGCAGCCUUGCCUGCUUCCCGAGCCACCGAGAGCCUCUUCACCUCCGUGAGCGCCGCCGACGCCAUGGCCAUGAUGGAUAAGGUUAGCCCGAGACCGAUCCUUUGCAGGCAUGAUGACUCUGUCAUAGAUCGCUAGGGUGAUCAAGAUGGCACUGACGAAGAAGACGUUCAGUGACCCUGCUGGAAUCCCGAAGCUACCGACGGAUCUGUCCAUGGUCGUCGCUUGUUCUACAGAAAAUGUCAUCAUCUGAGCAUAUAUGGUCCAGAACAUGAUCGUCGUGGCCCAUACGGGUAGCAGCUGGAUCAUCAUCUUCACCUCCUCAACUCUUGUUACCGAGCAAAGUCUCCAAGGGUUCAUAGUUGAGGUCUCGCCAUGGAAUUCCUCGCCGAUCGCAGCCUUGUCGAGGAAACUAUACAUCACAAGAAUGUCAUUACUGUGGAGGAUGUUGCAACGCGAAGAUGGAUGAGUGAUUCUCACCGGAAUUUAUCUGUGUGUUGGAUUCUGGAGGCCUCAGGGAAGUCUUCGAACAAGAAGGCAGGGUUUGCAGGGUGCUUGAGCUGCCUCUUCCUGAAGGCAGCAACGAGCACUUGGAGAAUGUGAACGAUGGGGCUCCCCGAGCGCUUCUUGAAUCGGUAUCUCCUUGUGCCGGACAAGAACAGCACUACGGCAAGAAGCAUGGAGAUGCAACAGAUGCCGUAGGACCAACUUCGCCCCACCUCGUCUUGGAUGUAGACCAGAACGGUUACCGCAAACAGGCUGCCGGUGCUGAUGAAGAAGAAGAACCUGUUGAAGAAGUACGCCAUCUGACUCUUCUCCUUCUCGUCCUUCUCGUCGAACUGGUCGGUGCCGAAGCCUGAAACGCUCGAUUUGAGCCCGCCGGUCCCCAGUGCGAUCAAGUACAAGCUCAAGUACAGGAGGCCGAUCUGGAAGCCAUUUGCUCGGUGGCAUUUGCUUGCACCCGAAGAGCUACCGCAAGGUGGUGGCCGAAGCUGAGGCAAUUUUGUCACCACAGUGAGCAUCCCUGUUCCCUGCAUGCAUCAUCCACGUAAAACUAGAAACACGCAUCGGCCAAAAUGCUUCAGCUAAAAGCAUGAGCAGCCAUGAGAGAGGGAUAAUUAGACUCACAAAUGCUUGGACCGCAGAGAAGAUGGCGACGGUGAGGUAUCGGCCUAAGUAGGCAUCAGCGAGGAAUCCUCCAAGCAAGCAUAGAAGAAAAGAUGUGCCCAUGAAGUCGGACACGACGUUUGCAGAUUCUGCACUUGGAAGAUGCAUGGUGCCACUCAAGUAUGUCACCAGGUUGACUCCAAUCCCCAGAGUGGAUAGCCUUUCGCAUAUUUCAAUCACUGCAACAAUGACCAAACAUUCAAAGUCAAAGAAUUAGUCAAUGCUUGGCCUGCUCAAGUUCAAGAUACAGCAGCACCAUCUCUAAUUCAUUCAGCAUGCAUGGGAGACAGACCUAGGAUGAGCAUAGCAGGUAUCCAACCACCAGUCUUAGUCCUGUCUGCCGGUGAUCCCUUGUAAUCCACUGCAUCCGCCACAGACCAACUCAUCUUCCCUUCCUAGAAAUGGUUUCAGGGCAGAUAAUUAAGAGUAAGCGAAAGUACACACAGUAAAAGACUGCAGAUCAAGAGACCAGCCCACCAUGUGGACCUCUGUCAAGUCUCAGCAAUGUCGAAGGGCUUCGAGAGUCACAGAAGGUAGAGUGGAGAUCUCUCUUUGUGUUGCAGCUCCCAUGGCAGAUGGCCUGCCGUUUUAUAGACGCGCAAGAUUUGAAGCCUUCCCUUAUACCGUACAAGGAAUCUCGUAACAUGCCUUGCCAUGGCACGAACUCUACUGCAGAUUUGUGUGGAGGAGGGGGUGUUUGACGGUGUAGUGAUCCACAAUACUGUCUCACUGAAGUGCUUUUGCUA